GAUGAACGCUGGCGGCGUGCCUAAUACAUGCAAGUCGAGCGAACAGACGAGGAGCUUGCUCCUCUGACGUUAGCGGCGGACGGGUGAGUAACACGUGGAUAACCUACCUAUAAGACUGGGAUAACUUCGGGAAACCGGAGCUAAUACCGGAUAAUAUAUUGAACCGCAUGGUUCAAUAGUGAAAGACGGUUUUGCUGUCACUUAUAGAUGGAUCCGCGCCGCAUUAGCUAGUUGGUAAGGUAACGGCUUACCAAGGCAACGAUGCGUAGCCGACCUGAGAGGGUGAUCGGCCACACUGGAACUGGGACACGGUCCAGGCUCCUACGGGAGGCAGCAGUAGGGAAUCUUCCGCAAUGGGCGAAAGCCUGACGGAGCAACGCCGCGUGAGUGAUGAAGGUCUUCGGAUCGUAAAACUCUGUUAUUAGGGAAGAACAAAUGUGUAAGUAACUAUGCACGUCUUGACGGUACCUAAUCAGAAAGCCACGGCUAACUACGUG
rnacentral:rRNA from 1 species